rnacentral:lncRNA from 1 species
UUGCUCACAGCUACACAUGUAUCCGAUCUCUAUGAAAAAUUCACUCGAAGCCCCAAUCUGAUCGAUCUUCUCAAGAGUACUAGCUCGCGCGAAGACCUUCUUCUCGACUGAUCUAGAUUCUUUCUUCAAAUUUCUAGAAUCUUUUUAGAGAUUGAAGAUAGAUUUUUGGAAGAGAUGAAGAGAUGGAAGAAAGAUGGAGAAGAAACUAUUUUCUCUCUUAUUUUUCUCUCUUCCCAAACCCUAAGGUAGAAACCCUAGAAGACUAGAUUUUGCACACACCCC